rnacentral:rRNA from 2 species
GUAAAAAGUAGAAUAAUAGAUUUGAAAUAUUUAUUAUAUAGAUUUAAAGAGAUAAUCAUGGAGUAUAAUAAUUAAAUUUAAUAAAUUUAAUAUAACUAUUAAUAGAAUUAGGUUACUAAUAAAUUAAUAACAAUUAAUUUUAAAACCUAAAGGUAAACCUUUAUAUUAAUAAUGUUAUUUUUUAUUAUUUUUAUAAUAAGAAUAAUUAUUAAUAAUAAUAAACUAAGUGAACUGAAACAUCUAAGUAACUUAAGGAUAAGAAAUCAACAGAGAUAUUAUGAGUAUUGGUGAGAGAAAAUAAUAAAGGUCUAAUAAGUAUUAUGUGAAAAAAAUGUAAGAAAAUAGGAUAACAAAUUCUAAGACUAAAUACUAUUAAUAAGUAUAGUAAGUACCGUAAGGGAAAGUAUGAAAAUGAUUAUUUUAUAAGCAAUCAUGAAUAUAUUAUAUUAUAUUAAUGAUGUACCUUUUGUAUAAUGGGUCAGCAAGUAAUUAAUAUUAGUAAAACAAUAAGUUAUAAAUAAAUAGAAUAAUAUAUAUAUAUAAAAAAAUAUAUUAAAAUAUUUAAUUAAUAUUAAUUGACCCGAAAGCAAACGAUCUAACUAUGAUAAGAUGGAUAAACGAUCGAACAGGUUGAUGUUGCAAUAUCAUCUGAUUAAUUGUGGUUAGUAGUGAAAGACAAAUCUGGUUUGCAGAUAGCUGGUUUUCUAUGAAAUAUAUGUAAGUAUAGCCUUUAUAAAUAAUAAUUAUUAUAUAAUAUUAUAUUAAUAUUAUAUAAAGAAUGGUACAGCAAUUAAUAUAUAUUAGGGAACUAUUAAAGUUUUAUUAAUAAUAUUAAAUCUCGAAAUAUUUAAUUAUAUAUAAUAAAGAGUCAGAUUAUGUGCGAUAAGGUAAAUAAUCUAAAGGGAAACAGCCCAGAUUAAGAUAUAAAGUUCCUAAUAAAUAAUAAGUGAAAUAAAUAUUAAAAUAUUAUAAUAUAAUCAGUUAAUGGGUUUGACAAUAACCAUUUUUUAAUGAACAUGUAACAAUGCACUGAUUUAUAAUAAAUAAAAAAAAUAAUAUUUAAAAUCAAAUAUAUAUAUAUUUGUUAAUAGAUAAUAUACGGAUCUUAAUAAUAAGAAUUAUUUAAUUCCUAAUAUGGAAUAUUAUAUUUUUAUAAUAAAAAUAUAAAUACUGAAUAUCUAAAUAUUAUUAUUACUUUUUUUUUAAUAAUAAUAAUAUGGUAAUAGAACAUUUAAUGAUAAUAUAUAUUAGUUAUUAAUUAAUAUAUGUAUUAAUUAAAUAGAGAAUGCUGACAUGAGUAACGAAAAAAAGGUAUAAACCUUUUCACCUAAAACAUAAGGUUUAACUAUAAAAGUACGGCCCCUAAUUAAAUUAAUAAGAAUAUAAAUAUAUUUAAGAUGGGAUAAUCUAUAUUAAUAAAAAUUUAUCUUAAAAUAUAUAUAUUAUUAAUAAUUAUAUUAAUAAUAUAUAUAAUUAUAUUAUAUAUUUUUUUUUAUAUAAUAUAAACUAAUAAAGAUCAGGAAAUAAUUAAUGUAUACCGUAAUGUAGACCGACUCAGGUAUGUAAGUAGAGAAUAUGAAGGUGAAUUAGAUAAUUAAAGGGAAGGAACUCGGCAAAGAUAGCUCAUAAGUUAGUCAAUAAAGAGUAAUAAGAACAAAGUUGUACAACUGUUUACUAAAAACACCGCACUUUGCAGAAACGAUAAGUUUAAGUAUAAGGUGUGAACUCUGCUCCAUGCUUAAUAUAUAAAUAAAAUUAUUUAACGAUAAUUUAAUUAAAUUUAGGUAAAUAGCAGCCUUAUUAUGAGGGUUAUAAUGUAGCGAAAUUCCUUGGCCUAUAAUUGAGGUCCCGCAUGAAUGACGUAAUGAUACAACAACUGUCUCCCCUUUAAGCUAAGUGAAAUUGAAAUCGUAGUGAAGAUGCUAUGUACCUUCAGCAAGACGGAAAGACCCUAUGCAGCUUUACUGUAAUUAGAUAGAUCGAAUUAUUGUUUAUUAUAUUCAGCAUAUUAAGUAAUCCUAUUAUUAGGUAAUCGUUUAGAUAUUAAUGAGAUACUUAUUAUAAUAUAAUGAUAAUUCUAAUCUUAUAAAUAAUUAUUAUUAUUAUUAUUAAUAAUAAUAAUAUGCUUUCAAGCAUAGUGAUAAAACAUAUUUAUAUGAUAAUCACUUUACUUAAUAGAUAUAAUUCUUAAGUAAUAUAUAAUAUAUAUUUUAUAUAUAUUAUAUAUAAUAUAAGAGACAAUCUCUAAUUGGUAGUUUUGAUGGGGCGUCAUUAUCAGCAAAAGUAUCUGAAUAAGUCCAUAAAUAAAUAUAUAAAAUUAUUGAAUAAAAAAAAAAUAAUAUAUAUUAUAUAUAUUAAUUAUAAAUUGAAAUAUGUUUAUAUAAAUUUAUAUUUAUUGAAUAUAUUUUAGUAAUAGAUAAAAAUAUGUACAGUAAAAUUGUAAGGAAAACAAUAAUAACUUUCUUAAAAAAUAAAAAUGGAAAGAAUUAAAUUAAUAUAAUGGUAUAACUGUGCGAUAAUUGUAACACAAACGAGUGAAACAAGUACGUAAGUAUGGCAUAAUGAACAAAUAACACUGAUUGUAAAGGUUAUUGAUAACGAAUAAAAGUUACGCUAGGGAUAACAGGGUAAUAUAGCGAAAGAGUAGAUAUUGUAAGCUAUGUUUGCCACCUCGAUGUCGACUCAACAUUUCCUCUUGGUUGUAAAAGCUAAGAAGGGUUUGACUGUUCGUCAAUUAAAAUGUUACGUGAGUUGGGUUAAAUACGAUGUGAAUCAGUAUGGUUCCUAUCUGCUGAAGGAAAUAUUAUCAAAUUAAAUCUCAUUAUUAGUACGCAAGGACCAUAAUGAAUCAACCCAUGGUGUAUCUAUUGAUAAUAAUAUAAUAUAUUUAAUAAAAAUAAUACUUUAUUAAUAUAUUAUCUAUAUUAGUUUAUAUUUUAAUUAUAUAUUAUCAUAGUAGAUAAGCUAAGUUGAUAAUAAAUAAAUAUUGAAUACAUAUUAAAUAUGAAGUUGUUUUAAUAAGAUAAUUAAUCUGAUAAUUUUAUACUAAAAUUAAUAAUUAUAGGUUUUAUAUAUUAUUUAUAAAUAAAUAUAUUAUAAUAAUAAUAAUUAUUAUUAUUAAUAAAAAAUAUUAAUUAUAAUAUUAAUAAAAUACUAAUUUAUCAGUUAUCUAUAUAAUAUCUAAUCUAUUAUUCUAUAUACU